GGAGCUGCUCAUCUGGGCAUAGGACCCUGGAUGGAGCACUUAAAGUACUUCAUGCCCUUGGCCGGUGUUUGGGUCAGGUAUGGGCACAUGACCCAAGUAAUCUGGUGCCCUAGGAGGUUCUACCUUCCAUCAAUCUGCCCAUCCUUACCCAUCCUGGAUUUCCUGCCCACUUCUACAGGAAGAACGCUGAAGAAUAUCAACCAACUAACUAGUUGAGGAUUUGACUAGAGACUGAAUUUUGACUUUAAACCUAAGAAAAUGAAGAUUUGAAGAUAAUUUCUCAAACCAGAAUUUGGCAAGGCA